GCUGGGCGUGGUGGCUCACGCCUGUAAUCCCAGCACUUUGGGAGGCUGAGGAGGGUGGAUCACCUGAGGUCAGGAGUUCAAGACCAGCCUGACCAACAUGGUGAAACCCCAUCUCUA
rnacentral:sRNA from 1 species